rnacentral:rRNA from 1 species
CAGAUGUGAAAUCCCCGGGCUCAACCUGGGAACUGCAUCUGAUACUGGCAAGCUUGAGUCUCGUAGAGGGGGGUAGAAUUCCAGGUGUAGCGGUGAAAUGCGUAGAGAUCUGGAGGAAUACCGGUGGCGAAGGCGGCCCCCUGGACGAAGACUGACGCUCAGGUGCGAAAGCGUGGGGAGCAAACAGGAUUAGAUACCCUGGUAGUCCACGCCGUAAACGAUGUCGACUUGGAGGUUGUGCCCUUGAGGCGUGGCUUCCGGAGCUAACGCGUUAAGUCGACCGCCUGGGGAGUACGGCCGCAAGGUUAAAACUCAAAUGAAUUGACGGGGGCCCGCACAAGCGGUGGAGCAUGUGGUUUAAUUCGAUGCAACGCGAAGAACCUUACCUGGUCUUGACAUCCACGGAAGUUUUCAGA